rnacentral:rRNA from 1 species
GACGAACGCUGGCGGCGUGCUUAACACAUGCAAGUCGAACGGAAAGGCCCUGCUUUUGUGGGGUGCUCGAGUGGCGAACGGGUGAGUAACACGUGAGUAACCUGCCCUUGACUUUGGGAUAACUUCAGGAAACUGGGGCUAAUACCGGAUAGGAGCUCCUGCUGCAUGGUGGGGGUUGGAAAGUUUCGGCGGGUGGGGAUGGACUCGCGGCUUAUCAGCUUGUUGGUGGGGUAGUGGCUUACCAAGGCUUUGACGGGUAGCCGGCCUGAGAGGGUGACCGGCCACAUUGGGCCUGCGAUACGGCCCAGACUCCUACGGGAGGCAGCAGUGGGGAAUAUUGCACAAUGGGCGGAAGCCUGAUGCAGCAACGCCGCGUGCGGGAUGACGGCCUUCGGGUUGUAAACCGCUUUCGCCUGUGACGAAGCGUGAGUGACGGUAAUGGGUAAAGAAGCACCGGCUAACUACGUG